GAAGCCGCUGGGGGUAUUUCCUUAAAGAAAAGUCAGCGCUGGUUUAUCACUGCCUGUGCUCACUGACAGACGCCGAGGCCAUCUCUGGGACUGCGGAUUGGUCCGCACCUGGAAUCACCUUCCUCAUCUGGGUUCCCUAAGGCUCUGCCUAACCCCGAGAUGCCGGGCUUAAUUUCAAGAUAAUCACUUUACAGCCAGGCAGUUAUUGUGCACACCUUUACUCCCAGCACUCAGGAAGUAGAGGCAGGUGGAUCUCUAAGCAGGGUUUCUCCUGGUUCUGCUGCUGUAGAGAGCACUUCUGGCCGGCUGACUCAUGAACUCCCUGGAUAGAGUCUCUUGUCCCUACCUCCCGUCUUGCUGGUGGAGUGCUGUCAUGACCGCCAUCUCCUACCGAAAGCUGCUUUCUAGGCCAGCACGAGCACCGCGGGGAGAUCACAGAAGACAUGAUUGACAAGGCCACCGUGGCAGAAAGGCAGCUGGAAUAUAGCCAUGGUAAGGCCUAAGGCUAGGAUUGAGCCACCCAAACAACAGCAAGCUAGAAGGGCCCAACAGAGUCCAGAGGUCAUGAGCUGGGGGUAGUAGAGAGGGCGGCAGAUAGCCAGGUAGCGGUCCAAGGCCAUGGCUGCCAGCAGCAGGCACUCUGAGCCACCGAGAGCCACGAAUAGACCCAUCUGGGCAGCACAGGUGGAGGGUGCUACUGCCUGGCCACCAGGAGGCAGGAGGAAGCCAGCCAGCAUCCGCGGGGUGAGUACCAGUGUGUAGGCCACCUCUACUGCAGACAGUGAGCCCAGGAAGAAGUACAUGGGUGUGUGCAGGGUGGGUUCUGCCAGGGCCAGGCCCAGAAUUAGCAGGUUCCCAGCCAGAGUGGCCAAGUAGAGCGGCAAGAGGAGAGAGAACAGCAGCACUCGGAGGCCCUGGGGCCACCCCGAGAAACCUAGGAUAACAAACUCCUGCGGCACUGUCCAGUUGGGCUCAGACCAGUGACUCAAGGUGGGGCCUGGUGGAAGACAAGCCAGAGAAAAGCGUCAUGGUGGACACCUUCCUCCGAAGACCCAGGUGUCCCUACCUUCCUUCUCCUGCACCCAAGAAUUCCGUGUCAGGUCUCUAUAGCCCAUGCU